CACGGGUGAGUAACGCGUAUGCAACCUGUCCGUUACAGGGGGAUAGCCCAUGGAAACGUGGAUUAACACUCCAUAAUAUAAUAUAGAGGCAUCUUUGUAUUAUUAAAUAUUCAUAGGUAACGGUUGGGCAUGCGUCCUAUUAGAUAGUUGGGGGGGUAACGGCCCACCAAGUCGAUGAUAGGUAGGGGUUCUGAGAGGAAGGUCCCCCACACUGGUACUGAGACACGGACCAGACUCCUACGGGAGGCAGCAGUGAGGAAUAUUGGUCAAUGGGCGAGAGCCUGAACCAGCCAAGUCGCGUGAGGGAUGACUGCCCUAUGGGUUGUAAACCUCUUUUGUAUGGGGGGAAUAAGCUUUACGAGUAGAGUGAUGACAGUACCAUACGAAUAAGCAUCGGCUAACUCCGUGCCAGCAGCCGCGGUAAUACGGAGGAUGCGAGCGUUAUCCGGAUUUAUUGGGUUUAAAGGGUGCGUAGGCGGCAUUAUAAGUUAGUGGUAAAAUAUUGGGGCUUCACCUCACUACGCCAUUAAUACUGUAGAGCUAGAGAACAGACGAGGUAGGCGGAAUAAGUUAAGUAGCGGUGAAAUGCAUAGAUAUAACUUAGAACACCGAUAGCGAAGGCAGCUUACCAGACUGAGUCUGACGCUGAUGCACGAGAGCAUGGGUAGCGAACAGGAUUAGAUACCCUGGUAGU
rnacentral:rRNA from 1 species